rnacentral:rRNA from 1 species
UACAGAGGGUGCGAGCGUUGUUCGGAAUUAUUGGGCGUAAAGAGCGUGUAGGCGGCCCGGUAAGUCCGCUGUAAAAGUCAAAGGCUCAACCUUUGAAUGUCAGUGGAUACUGCCGGGCUAGAGUCCGGAAGAGGCGAGUGGAACUCCUGGUGUAGCGGUGGAAUGCGCAGAUAUCAGGAGGAACACCCGUGGCGAAAGCGGCUCUCUGGGACGGUACUGACGCUGAGACGCGAAAGCGUGGGGAGCAAACAGG